rnacentral:rRNA from 1 species
UGGGGAAUAUUGGGCAAUGGGCGCAAGCCUGACCCAGCAACGCCGCGUGAGGGAAGAAGGUCUUCGGAUUGUAAACCUCUGUCCUUGGGGACGAAAAAAAUGACGGUACCCAAGGAGGAAGCUCCGGCUAACUACGUGCCAGCAGCCGCGGUAAUACGUAGGGAGCGAGCGUUGUCCGGAAUUACUGGGCGUAAAGGGUGCGUAGGCGGCAUAGCAAGUCAGAUGUGAAAUCCCCGGGCUUAACUCGGGGGCUGCAUUUGAAACUGCUUUGCUUGAGUACAGGAGAGGAAAGCGGAAUUCCUAGUGUAGCGGUGAAAUGCGUAGAUAUUAGGAGGAACACCAGUGGCGAAGGCGGCUUUCUGGACUGUCACUGACGCUGAGGCACGAAAGCGUGGGGAGCAAACA